UUUGACACAAUUUCCCUAAUUUCUACAAGGCAGUGGAAUAUCUGUCGUGUGGCGGUUGGUCGGAGAGAGAAACGGAUGGGAAAAGCGUGCGAUAUAAACCUUGGAUGACUGCAGACACAAGAUAUUACUAAGAGCAAGGUAGACAACGGUUACUGACUCCGGUCCAUAGCCGUCACAACCUAACCCUUAAUGAACAAAGUCCUCUUUCAGAGAUCCCCCUCCUCCAAAUGAAUGGUCACCCUCCAACAUUUCUAAUUUCAGCGUAUCGAUACUUGCUAGCCCAUACUUCUAGCUAGGUCAGAGGAUCUGGUUGCCGCUCAACUGGAGCAACGUUUAAUUAGCUGUAAAAUAAGCUUUGCUGAGCAGACAAAGAGAGAGAGAGAAGUGGAUUUAUUAACGAUAGUCAUCUGUAACCCUAGCCAUAAAGACCUCAGUCCAUCAACUAUGUCUAUGCGUGUGUGUGUGUAUGCGUGUGUUUGUGUGUGUCUGACCACGAGUGUGUUUAUGUCAAUGUCUACAAUCGUCUACGGCUAAAUAUAACUGAAUAAACUGACGGUUUAUAUUGAAGCCGUGACUUACUCAAGUGGAAGAUAUUUGGAAGGUAAGGACACACUCCAUCAACAUUUUCCUGACCUGGCCGCACACCUGACCACACAUCACAAGAGACCGUUAUAUAUCGCUUGACCCUUCUUUAAUAAAGCAUUGGUUAAGUGGACUUCUCAAAGUACACUCCAUUUAGUUGCCCUCAAUUGAUUGGAACAAUAUUGAGUCUAAGUCUAGGUCUAUAUAUGGACACGCCACAUACACACGUAAACAGGAGAACCGUAUCCUGACUCCUCAGUGUUUGUUAGGAAAUCAUAAAAUAGCAUUUACACUGAAAAAGUAUUUACACUGAAAACUUCUAAUGGAAGCCGUACGACGCUAUACAACCUACAUCUAUGUCAGAAUCGCAACUCAAUCAUUGCCUUAUGACUGUAGCGAGAAGCAGAAAGUGUUCUUUGAAGCAACACCUAGCCAUUUCAAGUAAGUUUGAUUGAAAGUGUUUCCCCCACACAAAUCCUUAGGAAAACAAAGUCUGCACAAAGUGCAUUUUUCUCUCGGGGAGAUGUGACAUAUGUUAUUUUAAAAUUCUCUCUCUCCCUUUCUCUCUCUCUCACACACACACAAACAUGCGCACACACAUGCACAUACUGCUUUCCUCCACUUACUCUACACACUAGUCCAGCCUUUAGUUGUAUGUCAACAUCCCUGCUUCUGCUAGCCUAGUUAGUUGACCCAUUGUAGAGAGAUGGCUACUGGGUGGGUUGGGUGAACAGUCUCCCAUUGAUCAUAGACUCAUUUGUGACUGUAUUACAAAGGAAGUGACCUUAUUGACACAAGGACUCGUGCUCUGCUCCAUUAACAUUUACAUAUCCUCUAACCCAGAGGAAGCCCAGUGGGCUGCAGGAGGUCCCCAGUGCGGAGCUCCACAGUGGGGCCCAUUCCCACAGACAACUUGGGAAAGAGGGAAAGGCCAGUGAGGCCAUUGACAGAGCUAGGAGAUAGGGCCUGCUGGAGCAGGGACCCGACCCGCCGACCUACAAAUCAGAGUGUCAGCGCCCGGGGUAGACAGAGCCCUCCUGACCCCUACCUUAGUGACACAUUAUUAGGAUAGGUACUUCUAAAGGUGAUAAAUAGGCCACGUAUAGGUUUCACGUUCCUGCAGUAUAUAGUCUCUAAUGACUAUACAUUAAAAUGUAUUGAGUAAGUGAUUUGGGUCUUUGUUGUUUUACGUCCUAUAAUCAAGUCUUAUCCUGUUCGAGUGGAAUUUGUUGCACUCGUAUGCAGUAGCUCAGAGGCACUGACAUUUAGGGAGGAAGAUAGAAUGAUGAAGCAGCACCCAUGCCUGGGACUUUUGUGAGGCACUCUGAUUGGAUCCAUGCCUCCGGUGUUCCCAGUCUCUGGAAAAUAUCCGCCGGUGUGGAAGGUUGGGAUGGGACAGGUUGGAAACGGUUACACCAUAGUGAGGUAACCUUGGAUUCCAGUAGGGAGGGAAUGUACAGGGAGUUUUGUAAGAGCUUAAAGGGCCCUGCCUGCAGGCCACACUCAUGACCUUUGACCCCUAGGGUCGGCCCUUUGCUCAUGACUGACUGUCUGUGAGGGAGGAAUCUGUCCACAUAUCCACCAAACAGGUAGAACAUUGAGUGUCAACAUGUACUUUGGACAGGGUGUUCUCUACAGAGAAGUUUCAUUAGGUUAGAUGGGUAACAACCGAGUCCCUCUAAGCCUGCAGGUUGAACGCUUCUUUACUUGUUAUAAGCGUGUAUGAUAAUUCCAUUUGUUCAUUUACAUAUAUGUCAUGCUCUCUCAAAACAGGCUACUCCAUCAAAGCUAAAAGUAGGCACCCCUACCCCACUGGAGCCUAGCAGGCUAGGGGUCAUACCGUCCUCAACUGUCCUUUCACACCUAGGGCCCUGGUGUGCAACUGCCCUGUCACCGAUUGGUUGACAGGGCGGUUGCUAGAGGGCUGGACAUCUGUCCAUCCUUCUGACUCUCCAGGUCACACACUUUUAAGUCUCCAUCAAGCAGCCACAGAGAAGGCAGCAAGCUCUGUCCUGUACAACAACAACUGGACUUAUUCAUAUCUCCUGCACAUGUGGGAUGGUGUGCGUGUAUAAAGUGAGUUGUGUAUUUUUGUAUGUUACUGCUAGUUGUUUAGCAGCUUAUCACCUUAUAUUUCUAUACAGACUGUGUAUUAUUGCUCUGUUCUGUAAGGUUCUGUAUCGGUGCAUUCUUGCCUUGGUGUGUUCAUUCGGUAUAUGUAUAUUCAAUGCCUCUUGUUUUCUCCUGUUACAGAACCACUACUUUCCCAUGUACCUUUCUGUGUGUGUCAAUAAAGUAUCCUUGUGUGUAA